AAUCAACGCUGGCGGCGUGCCUAACACAUGCAAGCCGAACGCGAGGACCCCGCAAGGGGUUAGUAGAGUGGCGAACGGGUGAGUAACACGUGGGUGACCUACCUUCGAAUGGGGGAUAACGUCCCGAAAGGGACGCUAAUACCGCAUAACAUCCUGCUUUUGAACAGGUGGAGAUCAAAGCCGGGGAUCGCAAGACCUGGCGUUUGAAGAGGGGCCCGCGUCUGAUUAGCUAGUUGGUGAGGUAACGGCCCACCAAGGCGACGAUCAGUAUCCGGCCUGAGAGGGCGGACGGACACACUGGGACUGAGACACGGCCCAGACUCCUACGGGAGGCAGCAGUGGGGAAUUGUUCGCAAUGGGCGCAAGCCUGACGACGCAACGCCGCGUGGAGGAUGAAGGUCUUCGGAUUGUAAACUCCUGUUGCUCGGGACGAAAAGCUUCGACCUAACACGUCGAAGUCUGACGGUACCGGGUGAGGAAG
rnacentral:rRNA from 1 species